CUAUAGGUGUAAAUAUGUCUAUAGGUGUAGAUAUGUCUCUAGGUGUAGAUAUGUCUAUAGGUGUAGAUAUGUCUCUAGGUAUAGAUAUGUCUAUAGGUGUAGAUAUGUCUCUAGGUGUAGAUAUGUCUCUAGGUGUAGAUAUGUCUCUAGGUGUAGAUAGUAUGUCUAUAGGUGUAGAUAUGUCUCUAGGUGUAGAUAGUAUGUCUAUAUGUUGUGUGUAAUCAGAUGGUUGAGAGAGUGCAUCUGUAAUGUAAGUUACUACAGAGUGGACAUUAUUUUGUCUGCAAAACAGGAUUUAAAUGUUUCAAAAUAAAUCAAAUCAAAUUAGA